rnacentral:lncRNA from 1 species
GCCUUGGCUUUUGAUUCCUUACAACAAAAUACCCUAUUGCAACCAUCUAAGGUGCAUUCAUGAUACAACCCUACAUCAAGGGUUGUAGUGAUUCAAUGUGAUCACUACGAGUAUCAAUACAAUACAAUUAUCUCAUAAUCAAAAAUAAAAUCAAAUUUUAUUUUAAUUAAUUUUUUUCUUUUCUCAAAAGAUAACUUAUAAUUAAAGGAUCUCAUUACUUAUCAUCCUGGGACAACCUUUCAGCAUAACUUGUGUUAUGCUAGCGCAACCUUAUAUCAGGAUA